AUGAGAACCAGGACCUGGCCCAGGUACUGGUUUCCGUCCCAGCUCCCUGCUGCUCCUUAUACCGGUGCAGGCAGAGGGGUCCUGAUUCCACAGCCUGGACUCAGAUCUCUGCUACCCACAAUGCGAGCAUUGAGGGUCUGGGACAGAGCUAGCUGGGAGCCCAGUGUUGUGCUGGGGAUGGCCAUGGAGGGGCUGCUGGUUCCAUGUCUCUUUGUGUCCAUCACACCCAGCCCAUUUUCUGUCCUCCUUCUGUGCCAUAGAGUGCUGGGAAAAGGCUCCUGGCCCUGCCAAGAGGAGGGCAAUCCCAGGUCUCCUUCCUUGGGCCAUGGUGCCAUCUCCCAGCUUCUGCUUCUCUGCGGGCUGCUGGGAGAGCCAUUGUACAAACAGCCAAUCUCCUGCACUGGAACGACUUCCGGGAGCUGGUUGAAAAACAGGAGAUGUGGAGGAUUGCGGAGUGCUAGCUGCAGUGGGACCAGAGUAGGGCAGAGGAAUACCUGCAGCAGAGCCAGCCCUUCCUGUAGGACCCUCAGGAGCCCCUUGAGCGGAUCCCAGUGCCCUGGUGCCUUGCUCAGGCCCUCCUCGGCCACUCUCGCUGCUGGGGAGCAAUGCAGUUCUGCUGCUGGGAGCAGGAUCUCACAGGUGCUCUGUGCCUAGGGCUUGCUGCGCGCUACUCAAGGGA
rnacentral:lncRNA from 1 species